rnacentral:tRNA from 1 species
AGGGUUGUGGCUCAGUGGUAGAGCGAUUGCUUAGCAUGCGUGAGGCUCUGGGUUCGGUCCCCAGCACCACAU